GAGCCCGUAGCUCAGUUGGUAGAGCGUUGCGUUUACAUCGCAAAUGUCGGGGGUUCAAAUCCCUCCGGGCUCA
rnacentral:tRNA from 1 species